rnacentral:rRNA from 1 species
UACGGGGGGAGCAAGCGUUGUUCGGAUUUACUGGGCGUAAAGGGCGCGUAGGCGGCCAGCACAAGUCAGUUGUGAAAUCUCCGAGCUUAACUCGGAAAGGUCAACUGAUACUGUGCGGCUAGAGCGCAGAAGGGGCAACUGGAAUUCUUGGUGUAGCGGUGAAAUGCGUAGAUAUCAAGAGGAACACCUGCGGCGAAGGCGGGUUGCUGGGCUGACACUGACGCUGAGGCGCGAAAGCUAGGGGAGCGAACGGG